rnacentral:misc_RNA from 1 species
GCCGCCGAAGCUGCCCAGAAACGGUAAUAAUCCCUCCGAUUAUUUUAAUUAGUCAUCUUAGUUUUAUACUUUACCAUUUCUUCAAAAUCACUACCUAAGAGCAUCGGUUUAGUUAGCAUUUGUAUGGGUUUAGUCUAAUGAAACUUAAAGAUGAAGUUAAAAUCAUGGUCCUUUGUUGCACCUCAAUUCUCUCUCUUUUGGAUUUGGAUUAGAACGAUUGGUAUUGAGUACUAUUGCGGCUCUUGUGGUUUUGAAAAUGGGUGAAUGAAAAAUGAUUAUCUUGCAAAAGAUAUGGAUAUGAGGUUGAAAGAUUGGAUUAGGUUGCUCACGGAUAUUGGUAAAGGAAAUGAAUUUAAUUGUAGUCGUACAGCCCUGAUCUUCCGAAAUAGUAAUUUCACUUUCUGCCGACUUUCUAUUUGCAGUUAGUAUGCUGAUAAUGGCAACUUAAUUUGCUUUGUCACUUUUUUAAUGAAUAAAGAAAAGUACAAUUUUGCUGUGGUUAUUUAUUUGAGAUUGUAAAUGUUCCUGGGUUUUGACAAUGGAGUAGUUUUUCUUAUCUAAUUAUCUCUGUUAAAAAUUGUUCAAAAAAUUUAGACUAGCCUGGUAUAAUUUUGCUGUAGGGAGAAAGAUACAGCGCAAUACAACUCCAUCUCACUCUUAGAGUUAAAGAUCCAUAUUUGAGUGACCAUUUUGAAAAGUAUCAACAAGUCCAAAUCAUAUCUCAACUAGCAUCUCAAGUCCAAAUCAGGAAACUUGUAGAGAUAAGAGUCACUACCAAUUCUUAGAGCAAGAAGAGUAGGCCUGGCCACAAUCCGGUUCCAAUCCCAAAUUGGAAUUGGAACUGAACUGUCAGUUUCAGUUUCAGGGCUAGAGGGACCAUAAUUAGAUUGAAGGGCUCCGGGUCUGGUUUUGAUUCUGAUUCAGUUUUAUUUUGAUAAGAUCUAAUGGUCAAUCUCUUUUUUUUAAGGGAAAAUUUUGGUUUUGGCCUAAAAGUAGACUGACUAGUUAAAGUACAGUGUUAGUCAAUCCAAGUUUGAUUGGUUGAACCAGACUGUGACCACCUCUAAAUUAUAGAUUAUAGUUACUUGAGAUGUUGGAAAUUACCUUAAACACAUAAACAUAGAUUGAACUAGAUUACUCAUGGUCAAGUCAAUCCCCUUCUGUUCUUUCAUCCAUCCUUAGGAAUUCAAUGAUCCUCAAUUUCAAUGACAUGUCUUGAUUUUGUUGUCCUUAUUUCAAUUCAGAACGUGUGAAUCAUUGCUCAGGUUGCCUUUUGAGAGAGUUUUCAUUGAAAGAGAGCUUUUGUACCAUUACCUCUCUACCUACCAAACACUCAAAAAAAUCUGUGAGAUAUCACUGUGUUUUUAGCGCCAUGAGCUUAUCUUAGAAGUCCACAAUCCCCUUUUGCAUUCAGCGAAAGUGAUAGAAUAAACUCUUUAUCAAGUUCAUGACUGAGUCCCACAUCAUAGAAAAUGUUAGCUUUGCAAACAUCAUAUAUGAUGGGGCACAAUGUUAUGAGAAAACAUGUAAAAAUAUGUGGUUCAAAAUAAGACAUCUGGUUUCUUACAUAUGCUACUUAGUCACAACCAAAGUACAAGGCUAAACAACCAAGGCAACCAACCAUGAGACUGAAGAAACAUUACAAUUUGGAAAUCCAAAGUUCCUAUUUGGAAUAUGAGCCUGGACGCAAAUCAGGUCCUUUCAAAAGCACAAAAUCUAGAAGUUGCAAUUAUCAUUUCUAGCUCGAGUACACAAAGUUUAAUCCCAAGUUGGCUAGACUAACACAUGCCAUAAACAUGGGAUUACAAACAAUGCAAAAACUGAUACUUACAACGUAUACAUCCUGAAGUGUCAUCGUAACCAAACUGUAUGCAUCCUUGGUUUUUGAAAUAAACUCAUAUAAAGGGGGAGGCCACAUUUUAAAGUGGCAUUUCUUUAUUAUGCAUCGUGGUAGAAUACCUGAAAAGAAUAUCACAAACUAACAGAACAAACCAGAUUGGCUAUAAUAAUUUUUUUACAAGGAAAUUUAUUGAAGUGAUUCGAUGCCAAGAAUCACUUUUGUUAGCUUACAAAUCACUGUUUACAUAUCUUAGCAAUGAGAUACUAAUUUAACAUCAAAAGAAGAGACGAUGAACUUAGUAACCAAUUCUAUGUAUAAACAAGAAAUACAAGACCCUCCCUUGUUUCAUGCUAAACCUGAUCAAUGAAAUAUAUUCAAGGAAUCAAAUUAUGAAUAUUUUCAUGUGUACUAAACUAAUCAAUUUAUUUCAGCACUAUUAGCUCAUUUGAGUUGUUUAUAUCACUGAGCAAGAUAUGCCAAACAAGAAUAUCAAUUUUUGGAAACAAUUUGAAGUUGAAUUAGAUAGAAUGCUGGAAAUAAAGAAGUAUAGAAGCCUCAACAUCCAAAACCAGAGGAAAGGACCCUAGUGGCUUGUGUUCUUUAUUUAGGUAUUUUAUGUGAGUAUUAGGUUGAAAAUUAGCAAAUUAGACUGGUCUUAGGAUAAAAAUUUUUUAGUCAGCCAAUGCGAGAAGACUAUUGAUGGAUGGAGGGGCUCAAUCUGUUCAAUUUGGUGUGCAUUCCUUACUAAUGGGCUUUGAAUGAAGUGUAGGCUUUGUUCACUGAUAAAGAAUCAUUUUGAAGACUAGCAUAGGCAGCGGAAGCAGCACCUUCGAUAUGUAACAAGAAGGCCUGCCUAUUGUGCUCUUGCAUUGAGAUGGCAAUAUAAAGAGUUCUUGAAACUCAAUUGUCUAUCACAAAAGAAGUCUGUGAAUUUGGAUGUUUGCUAUGAGUGAAACUUUUUUAUGGAACAAGUUUUGGGAGCUUUUGUUGUUUGUUUUCAAUGUCUUCUGUUGUGAAUUUAACUUUUUUCGGAAUCAUAGAGAUCAAAAAAAGGCAACAGGCACUGAGUUUUGGGCGCAAAAUUUCUGGAUGGAAAUUGGGCAGUUUUACUAGCUUUGGUGAAGGCAAGAAUAGCUUGUGUGGUUGAGCCAUGAGUCCACAUUCACUGCACCACUGAUGAAAACGUUCUGAAAUAACUUGGAAGGAUGAAGCUGCAAAACAAGCAAACCAAGUGAGAAUGGUUGCCAGAGGUGUUUUCCAGCAUUUCCACUCUGAAAUUUGAAGUCAGAGAAAUCUUCAAAGGAGAAAGUGCAGUUUCUGUGGUGUUAGAUCACAUCUAAUGUAGGAGGAGGAAACCCUCCUUAUCGAGAUUCCUGUAACUGUCUCCUAAAUGGUGGAGGUAUCCUGUGGGAGUGGGACACUACCCAUAGAUGCAUUCAAGUUCUGCUAUUAUUUUGUGACCAACACUAUCAGUAGACUUUAAUAGGAAUAUUUCAUAUAUGCAAUGUUGUGAAUCUUGUGAUAAUUAAAAGAUUCAGCCAUCUUUUUAUUUCCUGUUUUGUAACUAAACCAUUAUAGUGUUGGACUUCUAUGGAAUUGAGUUGCUGCAUAUGAAGAAUCAUAUUCUAUGCAACAAUUUUGUGUCUGUUCACCAUUGGGUUGUGCCACCCCUUAGUUCAUGCUAGUUGGCUGAUGAGAUUAGUACUGAGUUAUUAGGUAUGAUGAUCCAGGGGUCUGAGAGACUGAAACAGUUUUUUUACGGCACUUUGAUAGCUUUCUUCUCACUAGAGCAAUUCAGAUGCCUUUGCAUCAUUUAGCAUGUUGUCAUUCUUAUCCGCAGGCAAGAGAAAUUUGAAAAAUCUGCUGCAGGUA